CCUACGGGUGGCUGCAGUGGGGAAUAUUGGACAAUGGGGGGAACCCUGAUCCAGCCAUGCCGCGUGUGUGAAGAAGGCCCUCGGGUUGUAAAGCACUUUCAGUGAGGAAGAACGCCUGGUGGUUAAUACCCAUCAGGAAAGACAUCACUCACAGAAGAAGCACCGGCUAACUCCGUGCCAGCAGCCGCGGUAAUACGGAGGGUGCGAGCGUUAAUCGGAAUUACUGGGCGUAAAGCGCGCGAGGUGGCUUGAUAAGCCGGUUGUGCAAGCCCAGGGCUCAACCUGGGAACGGCAUCCGGAACUGUCAAGCUAGAGUGCAGGAGAGGAAGGUAGAAUUCCCGGUGUAGCGGUGAAAUGCGUAGAGAUCGGGAGGAAUACCAGUGGCGAAGGCGGCCUUCUGGACUGACACUGACACUGAGGUGCGAAAGCGUGGGUAGCAAACAGGAUUAGAUACCCCAGUAGUC
rnacentral:rRNA from 1 species